ensembl:miRNA gga-mir-16-2 gga-mir-16-2
CCUACUUGUUCCGCCCUAGCAGCACGUAAAUAUUGGUGUAGUAAAAUAAACCUUAAACCCCAAUAUUAUUGUGCUGCUUAAGCGUGGCAGAGAU